AUACGUAUGUCGCAAGCGUUAUCCGGAUUUAUUGGGCGUAAAGCGCGUCUAGGCGGCUUAGUAAGUCUGAUGUGAAAAUGCGGGGCUCAACCCCGUAUUGCGUUGGAAACUGCUAAACUAGAGUACUGGAGAGGUAGGCGGAACUACAAGUGUAGAGGUGAAAUUCGUAGAUAUUUGUAGGAAUGCCGAUGGGGAAGCCAGUCUACUGGACAGAUACUGACGCUAAAGCGCGAAAGCGUGGGUAGCAAACAGGAUUAGAUACCCUGGUAGUCCACGCCGUAAACGAUGAUUACUAGGUGUUGGGGGUCGAACCUCAGUGCCCAAGCUAACGCGAUAAGUAAUCCGCCUGAGGAGUACGUACGCAAGUAUGAAACUCAAAGGAAUUGACGGGG
rnacentral:rRNA from 1 species